UGAAAAGGUUUUUAAGACAGAAGGUGGUUGGGCACUGGCACAGGCUCCCCGGGGAAGUGGUCAGAGCACCAAGUGUGACAGAGUUCAAGAUGCAUUUGGACAAUACUCUCAAGAACAUGUGUGA